rnacentral:rRNA from 1 species
UACGAAGGGUGCAAGCGUUAAUCGGAAUUACUGGGCGUAAAGCGUGCGUAGGCGGUUUCUUUAAGUCUGCUGUGAAAGCCCCGGGCUCAACCUGGGAACUGGGCGGUGGAUACUGAGAAGCUGGAGUACGGUAGAGGAAGGUGGAAUUCCCGGUGUAGCGGUGAAAUGCGUAGAGAUCGGGAGGAACAUCAGUGGCGAAGGCGGCCUUCUGGACCCAGUACGUGACGGCUGAGGCACGAAAGCGUGGGGAGCAAACAGGG